GUAGGGCCGGUGCGGGAAGAGGAGGAAGAGAAAGAACCGGCGGGGAGGCCCCUCGGUACCGGGCCGGGGGGGGUGGGGGGGUGUUUUCAUGGGAUCCAGAAUAGUUUGGAUGGGAAGGGACCCCAAAGCUCUCCAUUCCCACCCCUGCCAUGGCUAGGGACGCCUUCCACUGUGCCAGGUAGCCCCGUCCAGCCUGGGCUUGGGCGCUGCCGGGGAAUUCAGACAAGAUGCGAGCCUGCUUCAAAUGAGGCUAGUUGCAGCAAUGCCAAAGAAACGCCUGGAAAUGAUGAAGAAAAACUCGAGCUGCAGCUGUCAAGUUUGUGUGUUUCCUGCAAAACUCAGGAGAACAGAGUGGCAAAAUGGCAGUUCAGGCUUGGCAAAACAUCACCAAGUGAUUUCCAACACCUCAGAGGGGCAAGAAAGGCUCUCCGUGGAUUGUGUGUCAGGAAUUUGUGGAGGAAAAAAGGGUGGAAAAGCAGCAAAAGAGGGGGCACCUGGAGUUGAACCAGGGACUCUUGAUCUGCAGUCAAAUGCUCUACCACUGAGCUAUACCCCCUGCCACAGCACCUCCACCAGGUACGUUUAAAAACAUGUCUCAGCAAAGAAGAAGUUUUGCUGUCCGGGGGCUGGAUUUCUUUCCUUGACAGCUCCAGGGAGUGCCUGGGAAAGCUACAGGGAAUUAAAUGUGAUAAAUGGUGCUGAAAAGGAGAAAUUCUGGUCGAUCUGAUGCCUGCAGUCAAUUUAAAACACAAAAAAGCUCCACAGACAGGGAGUGCUUCUCACACACAGCACAACCCCUGCGCUUCCCCAGCACUCAGGGGUUGCAUUCUGGAGCUCAGAACCAAUGCUGAGUGCACAGAGCCAGCUGGCAGCUCCUGCAAGAGCUCUCCACGCGUGUUCUGGGAAAGAUUUGAGCAAAAGGAAGGUGGAAAGUGGAAAAAAAAGAGGGGGCACCUGGAGUUGAACCAGGGACCUCUUGAUCUGCAGUCAAAUGCUCUAACCACUGAGCUAUACCCCCUGUUCUGUCUGUGACAAUAUAAAACAUUUCAAGGAUGUUUUUUCCCAAAUCCCCAGUUUUCUGUUCCUGAGGAUUUGGCUCCUGCUGCAGAAUCCGUGGGGCAGCAGCAGCCACAGACUCACUGCACUCCCACACGAGGCCUUGGCCCAGUUCCUCCCCAGCUCCUUUCCUUCCUGGGAAAAAAUAUAAGAAAAAAUGGAAAUUAUAAAAAAAAAAUGUAAGUGGAAAGAUUAUUAGAAGUGGAAAAAAGUGGACAAGUUAUAAGAGAAAGGCCUCAUAAAAUCAGGACUGCUCUGUUAUCUUGUCAUUUCUUCUAAGGGAAGCUAGCACCUUGCAGGCUGCCAUAUGAAAGCAAUGCUCUGCGAGCAGUAGGUCACCAUACCAAUCUAUUCCUGAGUGAAAAAACAACCUUCACCCGUAUAAACUGGUUUUACAGUGUUAGAAAAAUGAAAGUUAUGUCUCACAAAUGACUUUUCCUGCAUGUACCCACUGGGAGUUUAAGUGACCAGUCAAUACCAAGUAACAGCUUGUUACUAACCAAUAAUUGUCAGGAAAGCUGCUGACCAGCUGGAGUCACACACGAGGUCUGUAAAACUGUAUAAAAAUAGUAUUAAAUGUAUAAAAUUAUAUAAAAUGUAUAAAACAUAACGUUAUUAGUUAUGUGAAUGAAGAAUGGGCUUUUUCCAUCUUGAAGAAAAUGGAGUCCUGGGUGGUUUAUUCCCAUCCCUUCCCAGUCCCAGUCUGUCCCAUGAACGCUCUGAACCUCCCUGGAGUCUCUGACAUUUCCCCCCAGCUUCCAUCUGCGUCUGCAACUGGAAAAAGAAUGAGCAGGGGAAGAGGCUGAGCUGCCAUCCCAGUGACGAACCCCCCCAAAACCCCCGGGGAAAAGCAGCAAAAGAGGGGGCACCUGGAGUUGAACCAGGGACCUCUUGAUCUGCAGUCAAAUGCUCUACCACUGAGCUAUACCCCUGCCACAGCACCUGCACCAGGCACACUUAAAAACAUUUCUCAGCAAAGAAAAAGUUUUGCUGUCCAGGGGCUGGAUUUCUUUCCUUGACAGCUCCAGGGAGUGCCUGGGAAAGCUACAGGGGUUAAACAUGAUAAAUGAUGGUAAAAAUGAAAUUUUAAAUACAAUUCAAUAAAGAAAAUAAAGAAUUAAGAAAUAGAAUCAAUCAAAUAAUUCAAUAAAUAAGAUAAAAAAAGACACUCUGGUGGUGAUUACAGAGAAUUAAGCACAGGGAAGAGCACACACAGACAGUCAGUGGUUAGAGCACAACCCCAAAACUUUUCCAGCAGAGUCUCUGUUCCUUGCGUGCUGGAGCUCAAACCAGCACCCCACGAGCUCAGAGCUCUCCAUGGAUUUCUCCUGUGGCAGAUUUUUGGCAAAAGGAAGGUGGAAAGAAGAAAGAAAUGAGGGGGUACCUGGAGUUGAACCAGAGACCUCUUGAUCUGCAGUCAAAUGCUCUACCACUGAGCUAUUCCCCCUGUUCUGUCUGUGGCAAUAUAAAACAUUUCAAAGAUGUUUUUUCCCAAAUCCCCAAGUUUUCUGUUCCUGAGGAUUUGGCUCCUGCUGCAGAAUCCAUGGAGCAGCAGUGUUAAACACAUCAUUCAGUGUGCAAAUUAAGGUUAAUUACUCCAAAGUGACUUCUAGAAAUGCGUAGUACAUAAAAAAGGGUGGAAAAGCAGCAAAAGAGGGGGCACCUGGAGUUGAACCAGGGACCUCUUGAUCUGCAGUCAAAUGCUCUGCCACUGAGCUAUACCCCCUGCCACAGUGCCUGCACCAGGCACAUUUAAAAA